UAGGGAAUCUUCCGCAAUGGGCGAAAGCCUGACGGAGCAAUGCCGCGUGAGUGAAGAAGGCCUUCGGGUCGUAAAACUCUGUUAUAAGAGAAGAACAAAUUGUAGAGUAACUGCUACAGUCUUGACGGUAUCUUAUCAGAAAGCCACGGCUAACUACGUGCCAGCAGCCGCGGUAAUACGUAGGUGGCAAGCGUUGUCCGGAUUUAUUGGGCGUAAAGGGAGCGCAGGUGGUUUCUUAAGUCUGAUGUGAAAGCCCACGGCUUAACCGUGGAGGGUCAUUGGAAACUGGGAAACUUGAGUACAGAAGAGGAAUGUGGAGCUCCAUGUGUAGCGGUGGAAUGCGUAGAUAUAUGGAAGAACACCAGUGGCGAAGGCGACAUUCUGGUCUGUUACUGACACUGAGGCUCGAAAGCGUGGGGAGCAAACAGG
rnacentral:rRNA from 1 species